CUUUAUCCUUCUGGCCUUCUGAAUCCCAUGCUGUCCCUGCUGUCUUUUCUACCCCUCUAUUUGCUCCUUAUCAUUUUCUUGGUGGGCUCUCCUUUUGCCUGUGCCCUUCUUAUAUGCUGAUUUCAUUUACUUUAGUUUUAUUUUGUCUUGUUAGAGGUGGGUGCUGGCCCUUCUUCCCUUCUCACUUUGCACCUUCUUCCAGGGUGAUCUCAUCUACUUUCCAUCCAUAUUCUGAUAACCUUCAGAUUUAGAUCUCUAACUUAGGUCUCUUUCCUUGAGUUCCAGGAAAACGCAUUUUUUUUUUUUUUUUUUUUUUUUUUAAGAUAGAGUCUCACUCUGCCACCCAAGGCCAGGCUGGUCUCGAACUCCUGAACUCAAGUGAUCCGCCCACCUCGGCCUCUCAAAGUGCUGGGAUUACAGGCAUGAGCCACCGUGACUGGCCAAGAGCAAACUGUUGAUUGCACAUUUGCAUUUGGACAUUUCACAUCAGACAUCUCAAACUCUGUGUCCAAAACUCAACGUCCUUUCCUCCCCCCCCACUUUCUCCUCCACCUCCUUGUCCACACACACAUACAGAUCCCCUUUCUGUGUUCCCUCUGUCUUGGUGAAUGGUGUUUCCAUCUACCUGUUUGCUCAAAUCAGAAACUCAAAGAUCACCCAUGACUCCUUCCUGUCCUCAGUAAAUCCUGCUGAAGCCUACUUCCAAAUGUUGCUGGAAUCCAUCUGCUUCUUUUCAUCCCUGCUGCCACCUCCUGGGCAACAUUCAGGAACAGCUGUGUAACCACUAAAGAACCUGAACUUCAAGACGCUGAUAUUUAUGGCCAGAAUUCACAGUCACUUCUGCACUUUGCAUACCUUGAUGGAGACUUUUCUGGAUACUUAAGUUUCUAAAGAAUGGAUCAACUGAGCUCCUUUCCUCCUGACUUCUCCAUGGAUUCAGACGGCAGGAAGUCCCAGGAAGAGGUGUGAGCCACUGUGCCUGGCAAUAAUUGUUACAAUUAUUAAACCAUUCUUAUGCUUGUGAGAGCAA